rnacentral:rRNA from 1 species
UACAGAGACUGCAAGCGUUAUUCGGAUUCACUGGGCGUAAAGGGUGCGCAGGCGGCCAAGUGUGUCAGAUGUGAAAUCCCGAGGCUCAACCUCGGAACUGCGUCUGAAACUACUUGGCUAGAGUAUUGGAGAGGGUAACGGAAUUCACGGUGUAGCAGUGAAAUGCGUAGAUAUCGUGAGGAACACCAGAGGCGAAGGCGGUUACCUGGACAAUUACUGACGCUCAGGCACGAAAGCGUGGGGAGCAAAAGGG